rnacentral:rRNA from 1 species
GAUGAACGCUGGCGGCGUGCCUAAUACAUGCAAGUCGAGCGAACAGAUGAGGAGCUUGCUCCUCUGACGUUAGCGGCGGACGGGUGAGUAACACGUGGAUAACCUACCUAUAAGACUGGGAUCACUUCGGGAAACCGGAGCUAAUACCGGAUAAUAUAUUGAACCGCAUGGUUCAAUAGUGAAAGACGGCUUUGCUGUCACUUAUAGAUGGAUCCGCGCCGCAUUAGCUAGUUGGUAAGGUAACGGCUUACCAAGGCAACGAUGCGUAGCCGACCUGAGAGGGUGAUCGGCCACACUGGAACUGAGACACGGUCCAGACGCCUACGGGAGGCAGCAGUAGGGAAUCUGCCGCAAUGGGCGAAAGCCUGACGGAGCAACGCCGCGUGAGUUAUGAAGGUCUUCGGAUCGUAAAACUCUGUUAUUAGGUAAGAACAAAUGUGUAAGUAACUAUGCACGUCUUGACGGUACCUAAUCAGAAAGCCACGGCUAACUACGUG